rnacentral:tRNA from 1 species
GCUGCAGCAGCGGGGGAUCGACGCCCUUGUCGUUAUCGGCGGCAACGGUUCUCAGUCCGGGGCUCAUGCCUUGUCGCAGCAC